rnacentral:lncRNA from 1 species
GUCCUGGUUUCUACAUAAUAGACAACAUUGUCAGGUAAAAGAAAACUAUAUCUAUGAUAAUAUCUUGUUAUCGAAAACUACAUGGCAAAGUUUCACACUUUGUUUUAUCUCCAACUUUUUAUACUUCUAUACUAUUUCUGCUCGCUACCUAUUUUUUUCUGUUCUUCUUGAUAUUCAAUAGAAUGUCUAGAUCGCUUGUUUGAUAUUUUCUUCACGUAUCAGUCAUUCUAAAAUUAAUAACGUUCCAUAUAUUCAUCGAAUAUAGGUUGUGAUGUUUAUAUAAUGAUAUAUAUCCUCUAUGCAGAUUCCUACAUAGAGGAAGUAAAAUAACUUUCAGUUUUUAUGUCAAUAUAUUGUGUAACAUUAUACGAUUACAUUACUUAUGAUAUGGCACUAUUAUGUCUGCUAAAAUAUCGUGUGUAUAUAUAUAUAUAUAUAUGUAGAUAGAUAGAUAGAUAGGUAGAUAAAUAUACGCACACACACACUUACACACACACACACACACACUUACACACAUAUAUAUAUAUAUGUAUAUAUACCUGCGUGUGUGUCUGUCUCUAUGUAUGUACAUAUGUAUAUGUAUGUAUAUGUAUGUAUAUGUUCGUCGACAAAUAUAUAUUAGGUAAAUAACAUGCUAUAUAUUAUUAUAAACAAGAAAUAUAUUGUAAAUAGUGUAGCCCCUGAGAAAACUACAAUUGCAUAUGACAUUAGCUAUAAAGACAACUUCAAACUUUGCCUCAAGACCAGCAAUUAUAAGAGAAAGUAAUAAUUGCUGUUUAUCGACCCCAGUGUUCUAGAGAUACUUAGCAUCCCCGAAAGGAAGUAUGAAAGGGAGUCUACAGCUCUGGGAUUUGAAUUCAAAAGGCAAAGGCGGACAAAAUACCGCUAAGCAUUAUACCGAGUGUGCUUUAGUUGCUGCUAGCUCGCGGCAUCAACGUCACCGAUAAAUAUUGGUUUCAAAUUUUGGUAAUAAGGAAGCAUUUUGUGAGGAGGGGAUAAGUCGAUGACGCUGAUCCCGUGAUUCAACUGGUACUAUUUGUUUCUAAACCGAAAUUAUGAAAAGCAAAGUCAACCACGGGCGAAUUUGAAGUCAGAACAUUAAAAAAACCGGAUGAAACGUCGCUAAUUACACAUACACAAAAUAUCGCUUGUGCUUAGAAUGAUAUAUGGCAUAACUUUUAAAUAAUUAUAUAUCUAUCGUCACACACAUGCACAUAUGUAUGUAUAUACGUAUGUGUGCGUAUAUAUGUAUGUAUCAUUACGAUGUAUUGUAAAUAACGUAACCAUAACACUUUCACAAUAUAUUGAAAACAAAAACUGAAAUUUAUUUCAGUACUUCUAUGAUUGAACCAACUCUCGUAUAUAUAUAUAUAUAUAUAUAUAUAUAUAUAUAUAUAUAUAUAUAUAUAUAUAUAUAUAGGAUAUUUAUAUAAAAAGAUGAAACGUAAACAGACGAAUUAUCGCUGAGUAUUUUGCCCGGGUUUAAGGAUGCUGCUAUCUCGCUGCCAUAACGUCACCUAUAAUUAUCGGUUUCAAGUUUUCGUACUGGGCUAGCAAUUUCGUCUGCGUCGAGGCCAAUGUUCAACUAGUACUUAUAUUAUCGAUCCUGAAAGGAUGAAUAACAACUUCGACCCGGAGUCAUUUAAACUCAAAAUGUAUAGCUCCUGCCAGCUCGCCAAUUUACAUCAACAAUGAAUAAUAAAGGUCGAAGCUAUCUAAAGAUGGGCUCUGGUUUACAAGCUUUUCGACAGAUAACGGUAAUAUACCGUGUUUGUUUACUUAUGUAUCUCAGAAUACAUUUUAAUAAAUUUAACUUGACAUUCAUCAUAUUUAUAAAUGGUUCAAAAUCUACUUGCUUACUAACCGCUCUCGAAAAAUUAAAACGCAUUAAAUCUAUGUCCACUAAAUAUCUGUAUUCAAUGCGUUACAGAAUGUCAGUUCGCUGUUUAAUGCCAAUAAAAUUACUAAAGACGGCUGAAUUCUGUAUUUUUAUGAUAGUACCUUAAGAUGUAAGUCUUGACUGUCUUUUGGAAAUACAAAAGCACUUUUCCUACUUGCAUAAGUGUGUUUCUUUUAGUUCUAAUUGGUUUCACUUGAUAUAAAUAUGUAAUUGUGGGAAAGUAUGAUUGCUGACACGAUUAUGAAACGUUAGUACACAUUUUAUGUAAUGUACAGCCGUAUAGCAUUUUUAUUAUGUUGAAAGACCAAAAGUCUAUGUCCCAAACAGUUGCUCGGCUCCUAUUAAGGUAAUGGAAGGACAGAAAUGAAGGAAACUGAGGCACUAAUUUUAUGGAGUCACAAUGAAUAAAGCGAGUGAUAGCGAGCAUUGUGUUACAUUCAACAGUUUUGCUUGAGUAGCAAAUGUUGCUGCUACUCCCAGCUACAACGGGUUACAUAUGAUCUAGGAUUAAGUGGGCGUGUCGAUUAUGGACGAGAAAGGAUAUAGAAGGGAUAAACUAGCUGUCUAAAACCUAAACGACGAAAGUUUGUUCCGGUGUCCUUAGUGUGGUAAGAUUGAUCGCCUGUUCUUUAUAGUGCUCAAUAUUGUGGAAUCAAGUUUUAAAUAUAAAUGUAGUUCAACCAGUUGACUUCAAAUUAAAAGCUUGAGCAGAGGCAAUAACCUCAGUUGAUCUCCAAAACUAUUUAGUGAACGCUUUACUGCUAAAUACAGCAUUCAAGCACUAACGACCAUAUAGUCCAACAUCUUCAUAAACUUUAGCCAUUUUAUGCAACUGCACCCAACGGAGGAAAAGUUCAAUUUCAUUACGACUGGGGAAGAGAAAAUAUUAACAUGUAGUUGCCCUGUAUAAAGGCUGAUAUACGAGGAGCGUUCAAUAAGUAAUGCCCCUGAUCCACUUCCCAUAGCAGUAGAGCAACAAAACUUGGCAUAGUUAUUAGUCUUUUUCUACAUAGGAACAACCCAGUGUUACGCAUUUCUCCCAUCGUUUGAUGCAGCUCUGGAGACCGUUUUCGUAGAAGACCCCAGCUUGGACCUCCAACCACGACGUGACUUCAGAAAUCAAGGCUGCAUCAUCUGGGAAACGCUUUCCUUUCAAAAACAACUUCAUGGCUGAGAAGAGGUGAAAAUCAGAGGGUGCAAGGUCAGGAGAGUAGGGGGAUGGGGGAAGACUUCAUAGCCGCACGUUAUGCGUCGAUCUUUCAAAAUGGCAGCCUCAACUUGACGGACAGAUGUCUCAUCAAUGGCAGAAGGGUGCGACCAGAUCUGGGAGCUGUUUCCACAGAGUUCCGACCAUGUUUGAAUUCACGAUGCCAGCGUUUUACAAGGUCAUAUGAUGGGGCAUCAUCACCAUAAGUUACUUUCAUUCCAUCAAAAGUCUCCUGUGGUGUGCGUCAUUUCAAAUACAAAAACCGGAUCACUGCUCGACACUCAACAGGCUCCAUUUCCCACUUGACUCAUUUCAAACACCUGUAAAUCAGAAACCACAAUUAGUUCGGAGCUGUGAUUUGCCACGUAAUCUAUAUAAAUAUAAAUGAUUGCACACGCAACAUUUCAGCUAGAUCAAACAACGGCAAGUGGGUCAGAGUCAUUACUUAUUGAACGCCCCUCGUAUAAAGUUACAAUGAUGUCCUGCAAAUUAGUACAAUCCGAAGCGAAAAGAUUUAUCGACGAUCAUGAACGAGCGAGAGAAUUCAUCGCAACUUACGUAGCUAACAAAAGAACCUCCAGUAUGCUAUCUUUAGCUGCUAAUUGACAUUUCACCUCAGAAAUUCAGAUAAGUCCAAUGGUAGGAAAGUCAAGACUAAAAUAAUUCGUGAGCCAGAAAUACCCAUUACUUUUACUGAAAAUUCUUGAAAAAGAAUGAGAUGAUUUUGAAUUUAGUUGUUGUAGUUAGUACUGGUGUGUUGAUGCCUUUCUUAUAGUAGUUCUCAUUUUGCUGGUUUUGUUGCUUCAAUUUUUGUCGGUGAUGAAGAAUACGUUAGGUUUGUUGUUAUUGUUGUUGCUGUUCAUUAUGACCAGAGGUACAAUAUAAAUCUGUGUGUCUGUUUAUGCUUCGUUUCAGCAACGGCCAUGUCACAUUCCGUUCAAAUAGGAGCGGCAGUGGAUUCUAGCUGGAUGGCUAUAUGUGCAUAUUGUACGUUAUUCACAAAUUAUUUGACUCAAAAUAAUUUUGCCAAACUGCAUAAUAAAACGAAAAUAUUAUCUAGCAUUAGACAGUGAAAAGGAAUAUACCCGCAGUUACCUAGUUACAUUCGAAAAACAGACACAUACAAUCUUCUGUUUCGAAGUACACAGAAUUAUUAUAAUAACUUAAAGAAAUAAUGAGUAUAACAAAAACAAAACUAAUAAUGAGAGUGAUAAUUAUACAAAUAAUAAUAACCUGAUGCAGUAUCAAGCAGUGCCGAUCAUGGCAUCCGAUCUGAACUGGUUGGAAGUGUUAUCAUGUACAUUGUUUUGUCUUGGUAUAAAAGAUAGGCCACAAUCUAAAAUCCGCAUCUCAUUCUAUAAUUAUCACUAUUUCUGCUCAGUACCACAUACCUAUUUCUUUAUUACCCACAAGGGGCUAAACACAGAGGGGACAAACAAGGACAGACAUAGGUAUUAAGUCGCUUAUAUCGACCCCAGUGCGUAACUGGUACUUAAUUUAUCGACCCCGAAAGGAUGAAAAGCAAAGUCGACCUCGGCGGAAUUCGAACUCACGACGUAACGCAGACGAAAUACCGCUAAGCAGUUCGCCCGGCGUGCUAAUGUUCCUGCCAGCACGCCGCCAAAUACCUGCUUGUCAGUACCACAUACCUGCUUGCCAGUUUGACUUUAACUAGUUGAGCAUGUACCUUAAUGAUUGACGAUAUGUGCAUUUCUCAUCAGGAGCUGUAGUGAGGUGGGGUAUCAUAGUCAUGUGUUGAAAGGACUUACUUGGAGUUUUAAUAAAGGAGUUUUAUUAAGGCGACGAGCUGGCAGAAACGUUAGCAUACCAGACGAAAUGCUUAGCAGUAUUUCGUUUGCUGCUACGUUGUGAGUUCAAAUUCCGCCGAGGUCG